rnacentral:lncRNA from 1 species
UAGGAUUUACAUAUCUAGGAACCAAGGGGUAGAAAUAAGAAUGCUUCCUCUGAACAUUAUCCCUAGCAAUCCAAUAACUGGAUUUUUGUCUUCCAUCCUUACCACUUCAGUUUCUGCUGGUCUAGACAUCUGGGUUCCAAAAGAAGAAUGCAUCUCCCAGGAGACAUGACAAUGAUUCCAUUCAACAGGAAGUUGAGACUGCCACCUGAACACUUUGGGCUCCUCAUGCCUCUGAAUCAACGGGCAAAGAAGAGAGUUAUAGAUCCUAACCACCCAGGAGAAAUUCGGUGGCCACUACACAAACAGACUUUUCUGACUCUGCGGCCAGGUGUUUGUAUUUAACUCCACGGUGAGGAGACUCAUCUUCUGACGGACCUAACCUAUACCAUCAAGCUCCAGCACCACAAGCAAAGACAAAAACCUUGCGGAAACUAUUUAACUAACUCCCACAAUUGCAUAAGGAUCUAAAUGAAAA